rnacentral:tRNA from 1 species
GUCAGUAUAGUUUAACAAAAACAUUAGAUUGUGAUUCUAAAAAAAGAGGUUAAAAACCUCUUACUAACC